rnacentral:rRNA from 1 species
GUCGAAUGGCGGGUGCAUACAUGCGUCGAGCGGACAGAAGGGAGCUUGCUCCCGGAUGUUAGCGGCGGACGGGUGAGUAACACGUGGGUAACCUGCCUGUAAGACUGGGAUAACUCCGGGAAACCGGAGCUAAUACCGGAUAGUUCCUUGAACCGCAUGGUUCAAGGAUGAAAGACGGUUUCGGCUGUCACUUACAGAUGGACCCGCGGCGCAUUAGCUAGUUGGUGAGGUAACGGCUCACCAAGGCGACGAGCGUAGCCGACCUGAGAGGGUGAUCGGCCACACUGGGACUGAGACACGGCCCAGACUCCUACGGGAGGCAGCAGUAGGGAAUCUUCCGCAAUGGACGAAAGUCUGACGGAGCAACGCCGCGUGAGUGAUGAAGGUUUUCGGAUCGUAAAGCUCUGUUGUUAGGGAAGAACAAGUGCAAGAGUAACUGCUUGCACCUUGACGGUACCUAACCAGAAAGCCACGGCUAACUACGUGCCAGCAGCCGCGGUAAUACGUAGGUGGCAAGCGUUGUCCGGAAUUAUUGGGCGUAAAGGGCUCGCAGGCGGUUUCUUAAGUCUGAUGUGAAAGCCCCCGGCUCAACCGGGGAGGGUCAUUGGAAACUGGGAAACUUGAGUGCAGAAGAGGAGAGUGGAAUUCCACGUGUAGCGGUGAAAUGCGUAGAGAUGUGGAGGAACACCAGUGGCGAAGGCGACUCUCUGGUCUGUAACUGACGCUGAGGAGCGAAAGCGUGGGGAGCGAACAGGAUUAGAUACCCUGGUAGUCCACGCCGUAAACGAUGAGUGCUAAGUGUUAGGGGGUUUCCGCCCCUUAGUGCUGCAGCUAACGCAUUAAGCACUCCGCCUGGGGAGUACGGUCGCAAGACUGAAACUCAAAGGAAUUGACGGGGGCCCGCACAAGCGGUGGAGCAUGUGGUUUAAUUCGAA